UUGAAGGGUGAAGUCCUUACAGGACAGUCAGCCUUGAAUAGUCCCCAUGGCUCUGUCCUGACCACUGUCCUGAGGGCUGGGAGGAAACCCCGACUUGCUAUACUAGUGCUUCCUGCUUCCAGGCUCUAGAUCUUCCCUGUGCUUUGAGCCCUGGCAGAGCAGACAAAGGUUCUCCUCAAAUUCAACAAAGCAAAAUUUGAUACCAGAAGACGCAGCCCCCUUUCUCCAGAACCCAUGUUUCUAGGCUUCCAUCACUGACUCAAGACUGGCAGUUCUCUACAAACACUCCUGGUUUUCAGCAUCAGAUUGGGACUGCUAGAGGCACCCAGCCUCCAGGACCACUGGGUUCCUAGCCUCUCAGCUGUUAGACAUCUGCUGUUACAGUUUUAAUUAAUGGGAACUUCUUACAGACAGAUCUCCAGCCUUUCCUCACUGGUGUGAACUAAGCCAAUCACAGCUACCUGGCUAUAUUCAUGACAAUGAGCUUUGUGUGUAGAGUAGAAGAUGCCAGACACCUUAGGAGUCAAGUGAGAAGCUCUCAUCAAUGGAGCGUGAGCUGCUCUGGGAAGUCCCCCCUCACACCAAAAGUACUUUGUGGAUGUGCCUGUGAGGGUGAGAAAUGCCCAAGCUACUGUAGCAUAUCCUUUAAAUGCAGUUUAUACUAGGGUGGGAGGGGAGGCUAUGUCACUGAGGGGUCCUUCCAGCCAGGUAAGGUUGGCCUACAUCACCCUGGUGAACCCACACUGAGCUGGUACCCGCCCCCUUCUCAGAAGUCAGAAAGCUGUGUUUGGACAGAAGACCCUUCUGCUGCCCCAUGUAGUGAAGGCUUUGUAUCCCACCAUAUAGAUUUGUAUUUUUGAACUAGGGUCCAAGUCAGAAUUUCCUGAACCUCCCCCAACUGGGAACUAAUAUUCAGAAUUAUUUAAUGAUAAAACCACUGAAGAAACUAAGAAGAGAAGAAUCCUACCUUAACUUAGUAAAGGCUGUAUAUGAGAAACAUAGCCAGCAUCAUACUGAAUGGAAAGAAAAUGAAAUAAAGAUAAAA